AGCAAGUAAGAGGAGUCAGAGCUUAUGGAGGGAGGGUGUGUGUGUGUGUGUGUGUGUGUGUGUGUGUGUGUGUGUAAGGAAAAGUAGAAGCCAAAUGUGAGCUCUUGGUUUGGUGGCUCUGAUCAGCUGUGGAAAUCUAUGUUUCAAAAUGGUAGAAAGAGGAAAUCAUCACUUUUUUUUUUUUGGAGAGGGAGUCUCUGUCACCAGGCUGGAGUGCAGUGGCACAAUCUCAGCUCACUGCAAUCUCCGUCUCCCAGCUACUCGGGAGGCUGAGGCAGGAGAAUCACUUGAACCCAGGAGAUGGAGGUUGUGGUGAGCCAAGACUGCACCAUUGCACUCCAGCCUGGGCAACAAGAGCGAAACUCC
rnacentral:lncRNA from 10 species